rnacentral:rRNA from 1 species
UCGCGGUUAGUCGCUUUACGAGCGCAACCCUUGUCCUUAGUUGCCAGUCAUUCAGUUGGGGAACUCUAGGGCAGGACUGCCGGGUGGUCAAACCGGAGGAAGUGUGGGGACGACGUCAAGUCAUCAUGGCCUUUAUGUCCAGGGCUGCACACGUCAUACAAUGCGGCGUACAAAGGGCAGCAAACCCGCGAGGGGGAGCUAAUCUCAAAAAGCGUCGCUCAGUUCGGAUUGCAGGCUGCAACUCGCCUGCAUGAAGCUGGAAUCGCUAGUAAUCGCAGAUCAGCUAUGCUGCGGUGAAUAUGUUCCUGAGCCUUGUACACACCGCCCGU